rnacentral:rRNA from 1 species
AUUGAACGCUGGCGGCAGGCCUAAAACAUGCAAGUCGAACGAGUGGCGGACGGGUGAGUAAUGUCUGGGAAACUGCCCGAUGGAGGGGGAUAACUACUGGAAACGGUAGCUAAUACCGCAUACCAUCGGAUGUGCCCAGAUGGGAUUAGCUUGUAGGUGAGGUAACGGCUCACCUAGGCGACGAUCCCUAGCUGGUCUGAGAGGAUGACCAGCCACACGGGAACUGAGACACGUUCCAGACUUCUAGGGGAGGCAGCAGGGGGGAAUAGUGCACAAGGGGCGCAAGUCUGAUGCAGCCAUGCCGCGUGUAGGAAGAAGGCCUUCGGGUUGUAAAGUACUUUCAGCGGGGAGGCGUUACCCGCAGAAGAAGCACCGGCUAACUCCGUGCCAGCAGCGGCGGUAAUUC